GACGUAGGGCGCGAGCGUUGUCCGGAUUUAUUGGGCGUAAAGGGCGCGUAGGCGGCCCGGUGCGUCCCGCGUGAAAUCGCCCGGCUCAACUGGGCGGGGUCGCGGGAAACGAUCGGGCUGGAGCUCGGCAGGGGGCCAUGGAAUUUCCGGUGUAGCGGUGAAAUGCGUAGAUAUCGGAAGGAACAUCAGUGGCGAAAGCGGCUUCCUGGACCAGAACUGACGAUCAGGCUCGAAAGCGUGGGGAGCAAACAGG
rnacentral:rRNA from 1 species